UGAUUAUUCACAGCCGCUGCGAUAAUACAGUAGUUCAAUUUUGAUAUAAAUACAGCUACCUCGACACUCAGAAAGUCAGAAGCUUCCGGAUCUUGCUGUUUCAGAACAUUGACAGAUCUUCUCUUCAAUACCUCUAUCAUAAUGAAGCUCUUCUACGUAGUUCUCAUAGCAUCUGCGUUGGUUUUCCUGAGUUUUAUGUCUCCGGUUCCUGCCGCUCCUGUGCCUGAUGGACAUUCUAGAAGAAGUAAUGUAACUGCAAAUCAUUGGAAAUGAACGGUAGAACCCAUUUAAAAUGAAUUGUGAUGCGGGAAAUUUUAUUUAAUUAUUCAUUUAAAUAAUAAAUAAAUUGUUUUUGCGGGAAAAUAAUCACUACUUGUGGAAUGGAA